AUUGAACGCUGGCGGCAGGCCUAACACAUGCAAGUCGAGCGGAUGAAGGGAGCUUGCUCCUGGAUUCAGCGGCGGACGGGUGAGUAAUGCCUAGGAAUCUGCCUGGUCGUGGGGGCUAACGUCCGUAAACGGGCGCUAAUACCGCAUCCGUCCUGAGGUAGAAAGUGGGGGAUCUUCGGACCUCACGCUAUCAGCUGAGCCUAGGUCGGAUUAGCUAGUUGGUGGGGUAAAGGCCUACCAAGGCGACGUUCCGUAACUGGUCUGAGAGGAUGAUCAGUCACACUGGAACUGAGACACGGUCCAGACUCCUACGGGAGGCAGCAGUGGGGAAUAUUGGACAAUGGGCGAAAGCCUGAUCGAGCCAUGCCGCGUGUGUGAAGAAGGUCUUCGGAUUGUAAAGCACUUUAAGUUGGGAGGAAGGGCAGUAAGUGAAUACCUUGAUGUUUUGACGUUACCAACAGAAUAAGCACCGGCUAACUUCGUG
rnacentral:rRNA from 1 species